rnacentral:tRNA from 2 species
GCGGGUAUAGCUCAGUUGGUAGAGCAUAACCUUGCCAAGGUUGGGGUCGCGAGUUCGAGUCUCGUUUCCCGCUCCA